UCUCUCUCUCUCUCUCUCUCUCUGUAACUCCGAGUUACAGCUUCACAAGCUCAACGGAAGUGGAGGGAAAUGGGAACGGAGCCGGUGAAGAAGGCGUCACCCGCAUCCUCUUUUGCAGGCCCUACUUCCUGGCCUAUCACACCAAAGUCUACUUGAGCCAAUAACCAUUUAUCCAGGUUCAGACCCUAUGUGAUUCUGAUUCCCCUACGGUAUAUGAAAGAAAAUGCUUAAUGUUCCACUAACUUGGAUUGCAAGUGGUUGAUGGAGCUAGCUGGAUGUGUUUUGAGCGGAAAAAACGGAUUUGAUUGCAUCGACUUGAGGUCUCGAUGCCGGCCAAUUAUUUUCACAUCCAUUGGUAGAGCCAGAUUUCAACUACCUAUUGCACUGUAGUGAUAUCCCGUUUCUGCCUCUGAUCGUUGUAAGAUAGUAGAAUUGUAUACUUUGAGACACUGUAGUAAGCGAUGAAAUUUUUACUUGGCUAAAUAAAAAACCAAUCUGCUCUUGUCAGGGUCCUACUUAAACUUGCCGUAACGAUCCCAUUAUCGCCAGCACAUGCCUUUGGAUAAAUAACAGACUAGGAAUAGAAAGCAUGUUCAACUUUGCACAUUCGGUUUGGUCUUACGUUUAAAUGUAGAUAUAUUCGCGUUAAUCAGUGUGCUUGGGUUUAUGGCAGUGUAAGGACUUACUGUUUCAUAUGUUUCCAAAUUUUGUAUCUAGCUGCACCUUGAAGAUCAUUCGUUCAUCUGUUUUCCAUUUUCGUAGGUCGAUGAGGUGGCCCUUGAUGAUGUGCCCCAUGUUAUAGGAAACUACCAUAUUUGUGUGGUGAAGAACAAGCGCCUCGACUCAGAUACUAUAGCUUGAGUGAAACAGAUGAAGCUUAUAAUGCAAUAUGGUGUCGGUCUGGAAGGUGUUGAUAUUGACGCUGCCACCAAAAAUGGAAUAAAAGUUGCCAGAAUUUCAGGUGACAUCACGGGAAAUGCAGCAUCAUGUGCAGAGAUGGCUAUUUACCUGAUGCUGGGUUUACUCCGAAAGCAGGUAUGUUUGAUCGCUGGAAAAAUCUUGAGUAGCUGGCAUGUGAUUCAUUCUUACACGCAGAGUCCACAGGUCAGGUUUGUCGUAUGUCGUGCUUCUUUUUGUUCCUUCAUAGGGAAUGACAGGUUGAAUAGUUUAGCUGUAACAUUUUCUGGAAUGUGAAUAAAUCCCCUAUUGUUU